rnacentral:rRNA from 1 species
CUAAUACAUGCAAGUCGAGCGAGCGGAACCAACAGAUUUACUUCGGUAAUGACGUUGGGAGAGCGAGCGGCGGAUGGGUGAGUAACACGUGGGGAACCUGCCCCUAAGUCUGGGAUACCAUUUGGAAACAGGUGCUAAUACCGGAUAAUAAAGCAGAUCGCAUGAUCAGCUUUUGAAAGGCGGCGUAAGCUGUCGCUAAGGGAUGGCCCCGCGGUGCAUUAGCUAGUUGGUAAGGUAACGGCUUACCAAGGCGACGAUGCAUAGCCGAGUUGAGAGACUGAUCGGCCACAUUGGGACUGAGACACGGCCCAAACUCCUACGGGAGGCAGCAGUAGGGAAUCUUCCACAAUGGACGCAAGUCUGAUGGAGCAACGCCGCGUGAGUGAAGAAGGUUUUCGGAUCGUAAAGCUCUGUUGUUGGUGAAGAAGGAUAGAGGUAGUAACUGGCCUUUAUUUGACGGUAAUCAACCAGAAAGUCACGGCUAACUACGUGCCAGCAGCCGCGGUAAUACGUAGGUGGCAAGCGUUGUCCGGAUUUAUUGGGCGUAAAGCGAGCGCAGGCGGAAAAAUAAGUCUAAUGUGAAAAGCCCUCGGCUUAACCGAGGAACUGCAUCGGAAACUGUUUUUCUUGAGUGCAGAAGAGGAGAGUGGACUCCAUGUGUAGCGGUGGAUGCGUAGAUAUAUGGAAG